CUACUGGGGGCACCAGUGAGGAAUAUUGCACAAUGGAGGAAACUCUGAUGCAGCAACGCCGCGUGGAGGAUGACGCAUUUCGGUGUGUAAACUCCUUUUAUAUGUCAAGAAAAUGACGGUAGCAUAUGAAUAAGCACCGGCUAACUCCGUGCCAGCAGCCGCGGUAAUACGGAGGGUGCAAGCGUUACUCGGAAUCACUGGGCGUAAAGGACGCGUAGGCGGGAUAUCAAGUCAGGUGUGAAAUCCUACAGCUUAACUGUAGAACUGCACUUGAAACUGGUAACCUAGAGUAUGGGAGGGGGAGAUGGAAUUAGUGGUGUAGGGGUAAAAUCCGUAGAUAUCACUAGGAAUACCUAAAGCGAAGGCGAUCUCCUGGAACAUAACUGACGCUAAGGCGUGAAAGCGUGGGGAGCAAACAGGAUUAGAUACCCCAGUAGUC
rnacentral:rRNA from 1 species